UACGUAUGGUGCAAGCGUUAUCCGGAAUGACUGGGUGUAAAGGGAGCGUAGACGGUUGUACAAGUCUGAUGUGAAAGCCCACGGCUCAACUGUGGGAGUGCAUUGGAAACUGUAGAACUAGAGUAUCGGAGAGGCAAGUGGAAUUCCUAGUGUAGCGGUGAAAUGCGUAGAUAUUAGGAGGAACACCAGUGGCGAAGGCGGCUUGCUGGACGAAAACUGUCGUUGAGGCUCGAAAGCGUGGGGAGCAAACAGG
rnacentral:rRNA from 1 species